UACGGAGGGUGCAAGCGUUAUCCGGAUUUACUGGGUUUAAAGGGUGCGUAGGUGGGUCUGUAAGUCAGUGGUGAAAUCUCCGAGCUUAACUCGGAAACUGCCAUUGAUACUAUAGAUCUUGAAUUAUCUGGAGGUAAGCGGAAUAUGUCAUGUAGCGGUGAAAUGCUUAGAUAUGACAUAGAACACCAAUUGCGAAGGCAGCUGGCUACACAAAUAUUGACACUGAGGCACGAAAGCUAGGGGAGCAAGCAGG
rnacentral:rRNA from 1 species